rnacentral:rRNA from 1 species
GAGUUUGAUCCUGGCUCAGAUUGAACGCUGGCGGCAUGCCUUACACAUGCAAGUCGAACGGCAGCACGGGAGCUUGCUCCUGGUGGCGAGUGGCGAACGGGUGAGUAAUGCAUCGGAACGUAUCCUGGAGUGGGGGAUAACGUAGCGAAAGUUACGCUAAUACCGCAUAUUCUGUGAGCAGGAAAGCGGGGGACCUUCGGGCCUCGCGCUCUUGGAGCGGCCGAUGUCGGAUUAGCUAGUUGGUGAGGUAAAGGCUCACCAAGGCGACGAUCCGUAGCAGGUCUGAGAGGAUGAUCUGCCACACUGGAACUGAGACACGGUCCAGACUCCUACGGGAGGCAGCAGUGGGGAAUUUUGGACAAUGGGGGCAGCCCUGAUCCAGCCAUGCCGCGUGAGUGAAGAAGGCCUCGGUUGGUAAG